rnacentral:rRNA from 1 species
AUUGAACGCUGGCGGCAUGCCUUACACAUGCAAGUCGAACGGCAGCACGGGUGCUUUCACCUGGUGGCGAGUGGCGAACGGGUGAGUAAUACAUCUGAACAUGUCCUGUAGUGGGGGAUAGCCCGGCGUAAGCCGGAUUAAUACCGCAUACGAUCUACGUAUGAAAGCGGGGGACCUUCGGGCCUCGCGCUAUAGGGUUGGCCGAUGGCUGAUUAGCUAGUUGGUGGGGUAAAGGCCUACCAAGGCGACGAUCAGUAGCUGGUCUGAGAGGACGACCAGCCACACUGGAACUGAGACACGGCCCAGACUCCUACGGGAGGCAGCAGUGGGGAAUUUUGGACAAUGGGCGAAAGCCUGAUCCAGCAAUGCCGCGUGUGUGAAGAAGGCCUUCGGGUUGUAAAGCACUUUUGUCCGGAAAGAAAUCCUUGGCCCUAAUACGGUCGGGGGAUGACGGUACCGGAAGAAUAAGCACCGGCUAACUACGUG